rnacentral:rRNA from 1 species
CGUGUAGGCGGUUUGUUAAGUCUGUAUGUGAAAGCCCCGGGCUCAACCUGGGAAGUGCAUUGGAAACUGGCAGACUUGAAUACGGGAGAGGGCAGUGGAAUUCCUGGUGUAGGAGUGAAAUCCGUAGAUAUCAGGAGGAACACCGGUGGCAAAGGCGGCUGCCUGGACCGAUAUUGACGCUGAGACGCGAAAGCGUGGGUAGCAAACAGGAUUAGAUACCCUGGUAGUCCACGCCGUAAACGAUGAGUACUAGGUGUUGCGGGUAUUGACCCCUGCAGUGCCGCAGCUAACGCAUUAAGUACUCCGCCUGGGAAGUACGGUCGCAAGACUAAA